rnacentral:rRNA from 1 species
GACAGAGGGGGCAAGCGUUGCUCGGAAUUACUGGGCGUAAAGGGCGCGUAGGCGGUUUGGUUCGUUAGGCGUGAAAUUCCUGGGCUCAACCUGGGGACUGCGUUUAAUACAGCCAGACUUGAGUGUGGAAGAGGGUCGUGGAAUUCCCAGUGUAGAGGUGAAAUUCGUAGAUAUUGGGAAGAACACCGGUGGCGAAGGCGGCGACCUGGUCCAUUACUGACGCUGAGGCGCGAAAGCGUGGGGAGCAAACAGG